CACGUACUCAUCCAAAGAGGGGACCCAUGACCAUGGUGUGCACAGCACAAGAGCUCAGUUGGGAUCUCUGACAAAGGAAGUCCACCAUGCAGGGUUGAGCUGAACCACAGAAGCCCAGCCUGGGAGCAGGGCUCCAGGACUCCCCAAGGAUCAGAAACCUCAAUGAUAAAUUUCCGACUGGAUGAUAUACACUACACCUGUUCUUCAGUGAUGAUGUAUGGUAUGUCUAACAUCUGCCUAUUAGCAGCUGAAUUCCCUUCUAUGACGUGAUACAUAAUGUAUGGUAUGACAGAGCUGGGUAAUAAACAAUGUCAGCUGCGUCCUAUCAGCACGCUGGUGAUGAAUUGCCAUGGAACACACCACCACACGGCACAGCAGCCGGGGAGGCUCUGCCAAGGCACCCACUGCUCUCUGAUCUUGAAAGGUGAUUUCUCCUUCCUCCCAACUUGGCCCUUCAGGGGUGAGAGAUGCUUCUGUUGGACCACAGACAGCCUGAAAGGCUGGACCGUUGCUGUGGCACCAGCCUCUGGCCCAAGGCUCUGGAUUUGCAGUCACUGGGCACCCUGGAAGUUGAGCUUCACCAAUUCUAAGAGGUACUCCCCUCUCCGGCACUCACAUUUGAACACUUCUGAAAUUAAGACGUGUCCUUCCGUUGAUGAAAAGAAACUCUUGUUUCAGAGACUGGUUGGCAGCAAUUUUUCUCUUAGCGGGAGAAAAAAUCAUGUGGAGGCCAGGCAUGGUGGCUCACGCCUGUAAUCCCAGCACUUUGAGAAGCUGAGGUGGGAGGAUCACUUGAGGUCAGGAGUUCGAGACCAGCCUGGCCAACAUGGUGAAACCCUGUCUCUGUGAAAGACACAAAAAUUAGCCAGGCGUGGUGGCGGGCACCUGUAAUCCCAGCUACUUGGGAGACUAAGGCAGGAAAAUCGCUUGAUCCUGGGAGGUGGAGUUUGCAGUGAGUCGAGAUCGAGAUUGAACCACUGCACUCCAGCUGGGGCAACAAGGCGAGACUUUGUCUCAAAAAAAAAAAAAAAAAGAGAAAAAUUCAUAUGGAUCUUCCAGUUGACAGCUUCCUUAACUUUGAUGAAAUACAACACUCCCUCCCUUUCUUGCUUUUUUUCUUUUUCUCCCAACAUUUGUGUCUGCUUUAAGAAUGGACUCUGAGGAACAGGGCUCUGGUCUACUUGCAGAUGGCCCCCAAGGUUCCCUGGAGCUGUGUGAUGGACCAGGACCAGGGACAAAGAGACGUCUGGCUAGGCAGAGGAAAUUAAGAGACCACAGUGGAGAUGGGGCAUUUCAGGAAGGGAUGACACCACCUGAACAGACAGCAACGUACAUCGAGGUUCUCUACGUAACCCCUGCCCCCUACGACAGUCAACACAGAGGAACCUAGCCUGUGGCUUGUUGGAAGGAAUGAGCGUCGUUCUCUGCCUUAAAUUCCACCUGAGUGACUUACAAUAUUACAUUCAAAAUCUUUUUAUUUCCAGGAUGUCUUUAUUCCCCUCUCAUUUACUAUUCUUUUUACUUCCCUGAAAUCUCCAAUUGUAGUUGUCUUUAAAAAACACAUUUUUGUCCAUGGGAUAAGCUUCUGCCUUUAAAUAAUUAGAAGCCUUUCUUAAAACCUGCUCAGUCUGGACCGUGCAUAUGGAAGAGUGACACAAAACUUUUUUAGUAGUUACAUUUCUCAGAAAGUUCCCUCUCAAACAAACCCAGACUAGCCAAAUCCAGACCGUAGAUGAGCCCACAGGCCCACUUUUCAGUAGUGUGGGUAAAUCAACUCAACACAGGGACGCCCAACUGACCCCGCAGUGCCUCUGCCCUGGGUGUGGAGACCCUAGGGCAAGAGGCCUUGGAAAGCAACGUGGCUCCUAGGCCUCCGAAACGCCUGCUACGUGAUUCAUUUGCUUUGUUCUCUUCCUCCUUUCUCUGAGAGUUUCUUCCAAGGAUUUGAGAGGUGGAGGAUGGAGAAGAAGAGAUGGUAGAGGGCACAGCCGGAAGAGCGAGGGGUCAGUGCUGCCCAGCCUUCCCUGGGGGUAGGGGGCCCUCGGGCAGAGGACCAGGCUGGGUGGCAAUAGGCGGCUGCCAUGGAGUCAGAGACCACUGCUGCUGCACGCCCAGUGGCGGGCUGGGAAUCCAAGAUCAAGUCCCUGAGUGAGGGCAUGAGGUGUGGUCAAGUAGGAUCAGGGUCACUGGCUGCUGAAAACUAGCGUUUCUCCCCUCUUCUGCAUGUUAAGGAAGAAUGGCUGAUUUGGUGACCUGAUACAUGUAUGGUGUGUGUGUGUGUAGUGUCUGUCUGUCCACAUCUGUCUGUUACAUAUAUAUAGUCAUGUGCUUAUGGGACAUAUUGGUGGUUCCCUAAGAUUGGAACGCUGUAUUUUUACCGUACCUUUUCUGUGUUCAGAUACGUUUAGGUGCACACUUACACCUGUGUUGUGACUACCUGUAGCGUUCAGUGCAAUAGCAUGCUGUACAGGUGUGUAGCCUAGGAACAAUACACUAUACGGUGUAGCCAAGGUGUAUGGUAGCCCACACCAUCUGGGUGUGUCCAGUACACUCUAUGAUGUUUGCAUGAUGACAACAUCACCUAAUGACACAUUUCUUGAAACAUAUCCAUUAUCAAGCAGCAAGUGGCUGUAUAUAAGAAAUGCAUAUGAAAUUUAAAGUAGGUUUUUCUAAUUUUAUGGAAUACUAUGCAGCCAUAAAAAAGAAUAAGUUCAUGUCCUUUGCAGGAACAUAGAUGAAGCUGGAAGCCAUCAUCCUCAGCAAACUAACACAGGAACAGAAAACCACACACUGCAUGUUCUCACUCAUAAAUGGGAGCUGAACAAUGAGAACACAUGGACACAGGGAGGGGAACAUCACACACCAGGGCCUGUCAGGGGUGGCGGUAGGGGACAAGUGGAGGGAGAGCAUUAGGACAAAUACCUAAUGCAUGUGGGGCUUAAAACCUAAAUGAUGGGUUGAUAGGUGCAUGGCACCAUGUACCAUGGCACAUGUAUACCUAUGUAACAAACCUGCACAUUCUGUACACGAAUCCCAGAACUUAAAGUUUAAAAGAAAAAAAAAAAAAGAAAGGCAUGCUGUCCUUCCAACUUUUGUUUCUUUGCCCUUCUCCAAGGCUCUUCUGUAGGCCAGCUUAAAACUAAUUUACGUUCUUAAAAUUUCUGUAGUUGGGGAGAAGACCAUUUUCCCCUUCAUCCUUGGGAGCAGUGACCCCACAAAGGUGGCGUCUAUGAAACCCUGGGCAUGCCGCAUCUCUUUAAAGUCCUGCUCACCCGCCCUGGGUGGAGGGCUCCCUGAGGCCAGCGGGGACCUCCCGGGAACCCGCGCCCACUGGCAGCCAGGUUGUUUUCCCAACACUGCCUCAGUUGCCAGCAGGGGUUUUUAAAGCAUUAAAAAUAAAGGGGAAUAUGUGUUUGAGUUAUUUAGAGGUAAAAUUUAAAUUUUCUACUCAAAGCAGGAACAAGAGAAGGCUGUGGGUUGGAUAG